CUGCUGAUCUACUGAGGUACUAAAAAAAAGAUUGAUCCUUACUCCAGGUCAAACCGUCUCUCUCUCUUUGGUCAUUAUGUAUCUAUUUAUUGUUUAAGUCCAAGAAAUACUCAUGGACAGACGCUCAGUUCACUGUUCUCUCAGUUGCAUCUCCAUCCUCAAUGGUUUUAAGUUUAUCAUUGCGAAGAAAUAUGUCAUUAAAUUUGCCUCCUAAAGUAUCUCCAAACUAGGAAAAAAACGAGGAUUUGGAUGCAUGGCAAACCAAAAAAUCCUGCAAAAUUAUGUCACCCUAGUAGCUUGUUGUGAACCUGUUUUUUAAUCAUUAUUUUUAAUUAUUAUUUUUUAAAUUAAUGAUGUACUUAAACUUGUCAUACUCUUGUCUUCAUCAUUUAAAUAAAUCAAAUCAACACUGCUCAAAACAAUAGUCUGUGCUGCUUUAUGGUGACAUUUUUCUGUCAAGAGUUCAACGUGUUUUAUUUCUUGUAUUGCAAAAAAAUGUGCUAUUUUCAAAAUGAAGCAUAUGCUAAUUCCCUUAGAUUAAAGAUUAAAUCUUAAAGCAUUAAUUUUAAAAGUGUCUCACCAUCUUACAGAGGACUGCUACAGCUAGUGAGCCUGCAGCUGCUGUUCCUCUUCAUCAUAAAGAACCAAUACUGCCUCAUAUAAACCACUUACACAGUUUUACUUUAGGCUUAUUUUUAGCCUGAUGUCAAUAUUUCAGACCCCUAAAGAGACAGUCUUAGCUCAUACAGAUGGAUUGCAACAGGCUUAACAGAUAUUAGAGAUGUAAAUUAUUGGAAUUUUGCAAUUAUUCAAUAUGCAAAUAUUUUCAAACUCAUUUUACAGAUAUCAAUCUAAGUGCAACAUUAGCCUGUGGAUACCUGCUUCCUCCCCCAUGCUCAGAGGCUGGUUAUUGAGAUCAGAUAAUUCAUUGAUUUUCUUGUGAGGCUCCUUUAUCCUUGUGUGGUUGUUAAGACUAUUUCUUAGCUAAAUUACUAUAAUAGAUGCUGCCAAGUUUUUGGUUGCUCUGAUACUUCUCUAUUUUUUCUUUGCAAAAUCUUGGUACUUCAAAAAUAACAAUGUGUGGUUUUGCUCCUCCUCUCAUACUUAACAAACCCUGCAAAUGGCUUUUUUUGCUGUCUGUUUUCAACACUUUGAAGGCUGUCAUUUGAUGCACAUGAUCAGUGCAUUGUCUUACUCAUCUCCAAUAAACACCAGCAGAGAUUUUCAUAUCUGUCAUACAGGUGUUGUGCCAAUGAUAUUAUGCAACGCUAAUAGGGAGAGCUUUGGGAAUUACAACAAAAAGUUAAACCAUAAUUGAGAAAAUAGUUCAAGCUCCCAAAUCCCUUAAAACACUGCAAAACAAAGGAUCCUCUUGCUGCUCAUUUUUACCAAUCUUUUAUAAUAAUUGUGUAUUCUGCUCUAUGAAAAUCUAAUUUUGCAAUAAACCCUUCACUUGAUACAGAUUCAUCCAAUUAUUUAUCAAUAAAUGAAGCAGCAUUGGAUAUUUUAUAGAGAAAAUGUGAAGUGAGGGCUUCAUCUGCCCAUGUCAUUAGAUCUGGCUGUGAGGAUUGCCUGCAGACUGGAAAGUUGCAUCUCUGUAGAGAGCUCUUGGCAUUACCGAGGGGAGAGAUUAACCCCGUCCUCUGCUGUUUGAUGUGGUUGGCUGAUGUAAAGCUGCACCGUCAACUGCGCAGAGAUACACCAACUGAUCUCCAUGCAAAUGCUAAGAGUUGUGUGCGAGGCAUGCAGAGAUGUUACACGAAGCAUGCAUUCUGCUAGUCUUCUUCGUAACAGCUUCCAGCCAAGGAUGAUGUCACUUCUUGCCCUGCAGAGGAGUAAUCAGUCUCCUGCAUGCCUGAAGGGCCCCUAAGGAGUUAUCAGUCUUUGAUAGUUGUCUCUAUUGCAGCUGAUUCAAUCUGUAACACCACUUUGGGCCCCGUGUGAGCAUAUAACAAACAUACUUAAUCAUUUCUGUCGUUAGAAGUCCGGAAAAUCCUCUGUGAGCCUACCCGGUUAUGUUCUAGCUGCUGAGUAUUAAUAUCAGUGUAGACAAAGUGCUACCCUGUGCAAGAGACUUGAUUACAUACAAACAUAUGACAAGGAGAGACGAAGAGCGACAGAGAGCAUGCACACACCCGCAGGCUGAGACAAACACACAGAUACGUCCACACGCACACACACACACAGCUCAGUGUGCCACUUCCUCAUCUCCUGCUGCUCUGUCCUUAAACCUCUUCACCCUCCAUGCAGGGAGUAGACACUGUGCUCUUUUCUCUUUGUCAUGGUAAUAACACUAAGCCUAACUGUCCCCCAUUUUGCCUGUCAACUUGCAUUUAUUUUGUUUUCCUUUUUUCUUUUCUCUCUCCGGCAUGUACUGUCAGGUUUCUUGGGGUACGUUUAAGUCCCUCCCAGCAUCAUUCACUGCUCCUGGAACCAAUUAUAUUAUCCGGCUAGCCCUUUCAAUUCCUACAGAGGCAGGGACAGAAAGAAAUCUCGAUCUAUUCUCUAUGCCAGCAGCAUCACACCUUUACUAACCUAUUCUUAAGAUCCCACUCAAGAGAUUUUCAUUCCUCCCCUUUUGCUUUCUCAUUCCCCCUCCAGCUCUUCCCUCCGUUGUCUCUCAUUCUUGCCAUGAAGCCGCCUCUGACAGUGUGAAUAGGGGUCCUGUUGUUUGCGACACCCAACAUACUACUGUGUGACACAUUAUCUGCUGUAGUCUCCCUUUGCAGCAGAAUGCUUGCCUCAGAGCCUAACCGUAUUGUCUGAGCUUUCACCUCACCCCUGGCUAUCUGCUGUGCUCUGGCUUAAGGCUUAUCCUCGGGCUUCUGCAGAGCUGCUGGGCCAAUGAACACUAACAACUUUCCCUUUGUAUGCUGUGAGAACCUUUCUACAUCAGCUUUUGGCACAUUUACUACGACUAUCUACCUCUUCAAAUCAUAUUAUUUUAUCUCUGUAAUAGUGCUGCAACAGUACUUUGUUUUAAAUCCCUUUUUUUUCUUUACAGCACAAGCCUUUGGUAAAUAAUCGUGAUGUUCUAAACAAUGCAGCAUACAUUUGCUUCAAGAUCAUCUCGUUAUAUCACAUUUUUCACACCUUAUCUAGUGUUUUUGUUGCUGUGAAUCACUGCUUUUCUUUUUCUGAUUAUAUAAUGCUGUAAGACCAGCUGCAUUUGCUUUUUUUUCAAAUAAAUAUGAAUUAUAUAGAAAGUAUGUGGACGCAUUAAAAUUGCUCUCAUAUGUUCUGUAAUUGGUAAGCAUCUUAUUCCAAAGCUGUGUGCAUCGAUCUGCUGCUAUUAUCAGUCUCCACUCUGCUGGGAAGGCUCUCCACAAGACUUUUUGGAUGCAGGCUGCAGGGAUUUGCUUUCAUUCAGCCACAAAAGCAUUAGCGAGGUCAGGCACUGGUGUUGGACAAUAAGGCCUGGCUCGCAGUCAGGGUUUCAAUUCACCCCAGUGGUGCUGAAUGGAGUGGAGGUCAGGGCGCUCUGCAGGCCAGUCAAGUUUCUUCCACCACACGGACGCAGAAAGUCUUUUUUUUUUUUCUUUCAUGGACCUGACUUUGUGCACGAGAGAAACCAGCAUGUUGAAACAGUUACAGACCUUCUUGAAACUGAUAAAAGAUAAAAGAGAAAUCCCCCAUGACCCACCCAGCAUCUCUUGAACAUCUAAAGCCUUAGUAGUGUCAGCAGUCCAGUUAAGAAAUAAUACGAUGUGAGUUUAAAAGGCCGAUGGCAGCAGAACCAAAGUUUGAUUUAGCACUUUUAGUCAAUCCAGCUAUUUUUCGACCUACCUCUAACUACCCACCUUUUCUCUCUCCUUGUUAAAAUGUCAGUCAUGGCUGAUGUUUCGCAGCCCAGUGGGAGUUAACACAAGAUGUUACCACCUGAAUGACGCCAAGAUAUCCUUUUGAUUUCUUAAUGCCAGUGACACCACUUAAAGGUGAGAGCAAUCUACCCCCUAUAGCACUUGUGUUGCUUUUUCAAAGGCCUAUAGGUAGAAAUUACACGGUAAACUUAUUCUUUCAUCUUCUCUCUGGCUGCUAUUGCAAUCAGACAAGGCUUUGCCUGUGUAAUCAUUGCCUUUGAUAUGGAUGCAGUUCCAGUGAGAUUUGUGUAUUAUCAAUUCUUUUUAUGUUGUAUUUUUGAGCUUCCUGACAUUGGUUUACUCUGACUGCAAAGUGAUGCUAACUUCAGAAAUAUUUCAUAUGAAAGGGAAUUUUUUCCCCCCAAGUUUCUGACUCUCCUCUGACUCUGGUUGUGCAGAGAGGUGGGAUCCUGUGUCUUAGCCUGAUUGAUAUUCCGGUGCUACAGCCAAAGUUGUCCUCAGUUUCAGUGGAAAAGCGGCUCUAUGCAAUUAACCUAAUCGCAGUUUUAAAAGCGGCGGAGCUGUCAAAUACUCCUAUGCAGGAUAAUACACAGAUUGGCAAGAAAUGAGCUGUUCGGACAAGCGAAACAAUGUGUCAGGAAUGUCUGUACCUGAACAAAAACCCUCCAUUGUUGUUCUGUGACACCUGUGGCUACCUUGAACUGACAAGCUCUAAUUAAGCACUCAAAGAAAGGGUUAGAUGGGAAAUAUUAAUGCUAAUUUAUCUGCUUCAGUGUUUUUAAUCCAUGUAUUGUCUCAGAUAUUUUCUGUUAUUGUUACUGCGUCGGUAGCUGCCCUGAUAUUGCUUAUGUUCAUUGUAAGAAAACCUUCAAAUUGGUACAAAAAUACAAAACAAAAUUCAUAAACACAUGAAGCAGAAAAAAUAAGUCAACCGAGAGGAGGAAUAAACCUUUCCCAUGCUCUUUGGUAACCUUAAGAAAUUGCUUUGAGUGUAGAAGGCAUCUAACUUGCUUCAAUGACACUACAAGACAAAACAAAACAAGAGCAGACAGCCAAACACCCAGAAACCAUAUUUCAGGCCCUGGUGAUCCUGAGGUCAACAAAACGCAUGUCUUCUGGAGUUGCACUAAUUUAAAGUCUCAUAACAGACCAUAACAGACAUUGUGAGAUGGACUCUUCUAGACAACUGUGCUGCGAGAUUGAUACCAACCAAACCUGAGCUUUGCUGUUGUUGUCUGUCUCUAUUCAUCUCUACUCUUUCUUUGUUCUACAUCUCCCUCUGUCGCUCUCUCUCCAGCCUUGACACAGUCACGGCAGAUGGCUGUUCCAACAUGAGUCUGAUUCGGCUCGAAGAUGGGAUAAGACUGAGUCCUUAAAUAAGAUGGGAUUGGAUCUUAUCUUGAUGUUGGGUCUUUGUAAAUUAUACAAACAAAGAAUGAUCCGACUUGUUCCCUUUGUAAAGCAUGUAGAGAUUACAGUUGUAGUGAACUGACGCUGUAUAAACACGACUGACUGCUUUUGAUAAAACUACACACAUAUAAGUAAAUGAUUAACGGAUUGUACUAGUUAUUCCAACCAGUUAAAAUGCCUUUACAUUACAUGUCUCUUUCUGUAUUGUUUCAUCCCAUUUAAAUGGAAUCAUACUCAGCUCGGGAGCAAUUUGAGGUUUGAUGUCCCGCCCAAAGAUGCUUUGACUAGUUUGACCAACUCUACUUCUGAGCCACCACAACCCACAAAUAUCCGACUAUGACUUCCGAACUGUAUCAAUAAAAAACUAGAAAUGUGCUUCAAUCCAGCAUGCUGUCUUGGCUGAUCAAGGUCAUAGUCAAACUAAUCUUUGUUGGGAUAUUUUUUCUUCUUGGCUAUUUCUUUUGGACCCUUGAUAAAACUUUUAAGUAGGAUCACAGUUGUUUAAGUCAUGUUAUUCCUGACAGAAGUUAGAAUUAAGACAGUCAAUUUACAGACUUGGAUAUUUGCAGGCAUGGAUCGCAUGGUAAAUGAAAAGUGGACUCAGCCCCCAGUGGCGCCUCCCUUUGGUUUGUGAUGGAUUGGAUUUUUGGACUUAUCUAUUCCUUUGUUUGGCAGUCAAAUUUUCAAGGAGAGAAGACACUUAAAAAACAGUGAGACGAAUGUGCAGACCUUCACUUUUAUUCAAGUUGACAGAAUACCUGAAAGACUUGAAACUACUAAUCAAGUCCAUAGAGUCAUCUGGAAAUGUCAUAUCUGUAUUUUCUCAAAGCUUUCCAAUAGCAUUAGAAUCAAAGACCAUAUGGUUUCAAGAGAUGUUAUAGAGAGCAAAGAUAAAGAUCGCCACAAUGGAAACGCCAAAUCAACCGAUCUGUUGGUCAAUUUACAAACAAACAACAACAAGACAACUGAGGCAGGUGUGAAGCUUCCAGCGAAUAGCUGUAAUGCACUCACCUGUAAGUCAACUCAGUCUUGUUCAUACUCGUGCAGAUUUCUUCGCAUUUUCAGAACAGAUGAGUUAUAAUAGAUGAGCAUUGUCCCAUUGGCUUCAUUUUUCAACAUUAGAGUUUGCAGCUUGGUUAGAAUGGAUUUGUUGCCUGCUCACAAUAGGAAAGGAUUCAUGUUCAAAGCACUUAUCAUUACCUCCAUCUCUCUUUCAGAUCUUAGAGAGUACAUACCAUCGCUGACAUUAUAGUCUUUGUGUUCAUUACUAACUCUUCAUCAGCCUCUUAUCCUUGUAAAGCUUUAACUUGUCUAUGAUCGCAGAGGAAUUCUGAUACAUUGUUGAGACGGCAUUGUUUCAGCAAAUAAUGUAAAAGAUAACCUUCAAUGUAAAGAGCUAUUGUUUGAUAUCCUAAUGAGGAAUUUGUCUAAUCAUUUACCACUUAUGAUAAAGACAUGUAACUAACUUAAAACUAAACGUGCAUAGAAGUGUUAAUAUAAUUAGACAGCUAUACAAUUACGAAGGCUAUGAUCAUAAGCAGCAGAUGAGCUCGUGUUGUUUUCGCACAUCUGAACACCUGCAGCUCUUCCUCUCCAAAAAUAAACUAUGAGAUUAAAAUAUGUGAAAUGAAAAUGUUUAAUGGGCGAUGCAGUCGGCAGUUGUUGGUACUGAGAGUAUCAUUUGAAGCUUUGUUGCACACACACGAGGUGAUGAUUGAAUCUGCAGCCAUAUUCGGUCCAAAAGAGUAUCGAUCAGUAAGCAAAAAAAGGCUUGUGAUGUCAGGUGUUGUCAUGACAAGUUCAAAAGCAGCUGUAUUCUGACAGCGUGGUGCAAAACAGGCUCCCGGUGAGGCUUACAAGCCCUCUGCGCACACACAUAGCAAGCAGAUUCAGCAAGAGCUGCUCGCUGUUCGGGUCACCGACAGUUCAGGCUCCCAGAUUUCUGGUCCUGCAGCGUGGAGAGUCUGCACCGCUGUGAGAGGAGGAGCAGAUAGAGACUACAGAGCUCUGCAGGCACAAUCUUAUUUAUAUUCAGCGUAUAGAUUUACCCUGACUCAUCAUGGUGCAGGAAAAAGUAUUAAGAGAACUGCUGCAUAUCACUAGAAGAAAGAAAUCUGCUUAUGCUUGUUGUCUGUCAUGUCAAGAAACAGAAAGCAAAUCAAUCAUUUGCAAACGACAGUUGGCUGUGACACCGAAGACUCUUUGUUUGAAUACUGACUUCACACAUUGCUUACAUUUUUAUUAAUCCCCUUUUUUUUCAUAAGCACCCACACAAAAUGCCAAUCAUAUGUCAGCGUAGCCUCAUAUUUAUUAAAUUUAUACCUUUAAUAUCUACACAAAACAAAUGCAAGAUCACAACCUUCUAUCACAGCCACCUCAGAACAAUUUGAUUAUUCCAUUGAGUUUACAUAUCUUACCGUCUGCCUGCUGCCAUGUUCUCAUUGAGAUGAAACAAUGCAGCUGUAACAUAAUGUAGAGGGAUGUUUCAUCAGAUCUGGAAUAACAACUGUUAUUCUCAAUGCCACAAGCCACAGUAUAGAAAACUUACAGCUGCCUGUGUUUAGAGGUCUAUUAAUUCCAGCCCUGACUGCUGAAAGAUGAAGCAGCUCGCUAUAAACUAUCUCGACAAACUUGUGUGUUUUUCUGUCAAUGGAAAAAAAGACAGCCUUGCUGAGACUGUCUUUGUCUCUGUGAUUUUUCUUCUCUCUAUCAUCCCCUUGUGCUGCAUUUUCCAACUCUGUUAGAACCAUCACUUCACAGGAGGAAGGACAGAGAGCAUUUUAUAUUCCCUUACAGUUCACUUAGGACUGUUUCUCAGGAUUCCUCAAGGACUUUACAGGUAGCCUUUUUUCAAAGGGGUUAGUGCUUGCUCUGUACUUCCACUGACAUGAAAAAUUAAAGAAAUGGAUCCUGCAUGAAACUGCCGGGGACUUUCAUCGUGUUUAACCUCCUUUCUCUAUUCUUCGUUUGUCCCCAAAACAGUAAAUUAUCACUAAAGUAGCCGCUGAUAAAUCAAAAUCUCUAAACCCUGGCCACAUCCGCUUUAGUGGAGUUUAUGCAACACACCAGCUAUUAGUGAUAUGUUUGAUGAUUAGCCUUGAAGAUGUUUCCACUUCCUGCUUGUGAAGCCGGCACCUCUUGGGGGCAGUAGAGGCAUCAGCACGUCCUUUCAUCUCUUCCUGGCUGCUGGAAAAGGGCAAGGUCAGAUGGGAUUUGAGCUUGGCUCUCCACCACAUGUUUCUUUUGCCUGCCCAGUCUUGCUUUAGGCACAGAUUAGCUCCAUAUACCAGCUACUGUUACAGUCUACCUUUGUGGAUUGUGUGCCCACGUCAGAUCCUGAUUGGCGUGUCAGGAGACUCUCCUUCCCUACUUUGCCUUCCAUAUUUAUGCAACUUAAAGCCCCUUUUUUCACUUCGCUGAUAAAA
rnacentral:lncRNA from 1 species